rnacentral:lncRNA from 1 species
AAAAAAAGGAAAAGAUUGAAGCAUUCUUGAGAUGAGAAUUACUUGUGAAAUAAUUGUUGAAGAGAGGGCUGAAAAUAAAGAGAAGAAAUUAAUGGGUGAUGAAGUCUAAAAUUGCAAAGUGCUUAAGGAAGUGUAAGUCACUAUUAUAUAGUUUUUCUACCCGUCCCCUAGCCUACAUUACAACCCGUUAAAGUCCUAUUUGAUUCUAUUCAAGCAUGCUUAAUUAGUGGAGAUGUACAUAAUGGGCAAGCAUAUGGUUCUUUGUGCAUACAUGUGAAUUUUCAUUGUGAGUGUG